AUUGAACGCUGGCGGCGUGCUUAACACAUGCAAGUCGAACGAAGUGGCGAACGGGUGAGUAACGCGUAAUCAACCUGCCCUUCAGAGGGGGACAACCGUGGGAAACGACUGCUAAUACCGCAUACGGAAGAGGGGGAUUGAGUCUGAUUAGCUAGUUGGAGGGGUAACGGCCACACAAGGCGAUGAUCAGUAGCCGGUCUGUGGUGAUGAAUGGCCACAUUGGGACUGAGACACGGCCCAGACUCCGACGGGAGGCAGCAGUGGGGAAUCUUCCGCAAUGGACGAAAGUCUGACGGAGCAACGCCGCGUGAGUGAUGACGGCCUUCGGGUUGUAAAGCUCUGUUAAUCGGGACGCGGUACCGGAAUAGAAAGCCACGGCUAACUACGUGCCAGCCGCGGUAAUAC
rnacentral:rRNA from 1 species